UGUAUCCUACGGGGGGCAGCAGUGAGGAAUAUUGGUCAAUGGCCGAGAGGCUGAACCAGCCAAGUCGCGUGAGGGAUGACGGCCCUACGGGUUGUAAACCUCUUUUGUCGGGGAGCAAGACCCGCCUCGUGCAGGCGGAGCGAGAGUACCCGAAGAAAAAGCAUCGGCUAACUCCGUGCCAGCAGCCGCGGUAAUACGUAGGGUGCGAGCGUUAAUCGGAAUUACUGGGUGUAAAGGGUGCGCAGGCGGUUGAGUAAGACAGAUGUGAAAUCCCCGAGCUUAACUCAGGAAUGGCAUAUGUGACU
rnacentral:rRNA from 1 species